rnacentral:rRNA from 1 species
UUGAACGCUGGCGGCAGGCCUAACACAUGCAAGUCGAGCGGAUGAAGGGAGCUUGCUCCUGGAUUCAGCGGCGGACGGGUGAGUAAUGCCUAGGAAUCUGCCUGGUAGUGGGGGAUAACGUCCGGAAACGGGCGCUAAUACCGCAUACGUCCUGAGGGAGAAAGUGGGGGAUCUUCGGACCUCACGCUAUCAGAUGAGCCUAGGUCGGAUUAGCUAGUUGGUGGGGUAAAGGCCUACCAAGGCGACGAUCCGUAACUGGUCUGAGAGGAUGAUCAGUCACACUGGAACUGAGACACGGUCCAGACUCCUACGGGAGGCAGCAGUGGGGAAUAUUGGACAAUGGGCGAAAGCCUGAUCCAGCCAUGCCGCGUGUGUGAAGAAGGUCUUCGGAUUGUAAAGCACUUUAAGUUGGGGGGAAGGGCAGUAAGUUAAUACCUUGCUGUUUUGACGUUACCAACAGAAUAAGCACCGGCUAACUUCGUG